rnacentral:RNase_P_RNA from 1 species
GGUCAGGUUCGGGUGAUCGCUGUUUCGGGGGGAGCUUCGCUUACCUCGAGGUAGAGGAAAGUCCGGACAUCAUAAGGCAGCGUGUCCUGUGAAAACAGGAGACGAGCUUCUCUCAAGGAGGCUCGGACGGAAAGUGCCACAGAAAAUAAACCGCCCGUGGUAGACAACUGCUCGGGUAAGGGUGAAAAGGGGAGGUAAGAGCUCACCGCUCCGAGGGUAACUAAGGAGGCAUGGUAAACCCCGCGCGAUGCAAGACAAACAGGGGAAGGGUCGCCUGCUCGUUGGAUCCCCGGGUAUUAGUCGCAUCUGCUCUUUAGUAGGAGUAGGCUCGGGUGAGUUUCAAGACUCAUUCCGUGAGAAAAAUGAUCACACAGCCGAUGUCAUAUCGGUGGACAAAAUCUGGCUUAUAGAACCUGACCGGUU